rnacentral:rRNA from 1 species
GAUGAACGCUAGCGGCAGGCUUAAUACAUGCAAGUCGAGGGGCAGCAUGAGUAGCAAUACUUGAUGGCGACCGGCAAACGGGUGCGGAACACGUACACAACCUUCCCUCAAGCGAGGAAUAGCCCAGAGAAAUUUGGAUUAAUACCUCAUAGCAUAUUAGAGUGGCAUCACUUCUAUAUUAAAGAUUUAUCACUUGAAGAUGGGUGUGUGGCUGAUUAGAUAGGUGGCGGGGUAACGGCCCACCAAGUCUACGAUCAGUAGCUGAUGUGAGAGAAUAAUGAUCCACAAGGGCGCUGAGACACGGGCCCGACGCCGACGGGAGGCAGAAGUAAGGAAUAUUGGUCGAUGGACGAAAGUCAGAACCAGCCGUGCCGCGUGAAGGAUGAAGGUCCUCUGGAUUUUAAACUUCGUUUAUAUGGGACGAAAAAAGGUCAUUCUUGAUCACUUGACGGUACCAUUUGAAUAAGCACCGGCUAACUCCGUGCCAGCCGCCGCCAUAA